rnacentral:misc_RNA from 1 species
GAUGAAGAACGCAGCGAAAUGCGAUAAGUAAUGCGAAUUGCAGAAUUUCCGUGAGUCAUCGAAUCUUUGAACGCACAUUGCGCCCCUUGGUAUUCCAUGGGGCAUGCCUGUUCGAGCGUCAUUUGUACCUUCAAGCUCCGCUUGGUGUUGGGUGUUUUGUCUCGCCUCUGCGUGUAGACUCGCCUUAAAACAAUUGGCAGCCGGCGUAUUGAUUUCGGAGCGCAGUACAUCUCGCGCUUUGCACUCAUAACGGCGACGUCCAAAAGUACAUUUUUACACUCUUGACCUCGGAUCAGGUAGGGAUACCCGCUGAACUUAAGCAUAUCAAUAAGCGGAGGA